rnacentral:rRNA from 1 species
AGCGAACGCUGGCGGCAGGCUUAACACAUGCAAGUCGAACCGGGCGGUAGCAAUACGUCAGUGGCAGACGGGUGAGUAACGCGUGGGAACGUACCUCUUGGUUCGGAACAACCCCAGGGAAACUUGGGCUAAUACCGGAUAAGCCCUUACGGGGAAAGAUUUAUCGCCGAAAGAUCGGCCCGCGUCUGAUUAGCUAGUUGGUGUGGUAACGGCGCACCAAGGCGACGAUCAGUAGCUGGUCUGAGAGGAUGAUCAGCCACAUUGGGACUGAGACACGGCCCAAACUCCUACGGGAGGCAGGCAGUGGGGAAUAUUGGACAAUGGGCGCAAGCCUGAUCCAGCCAUGCCGCGUGAGUGA